CUCCGACACCGAACAGAACUAAAAGAACUAUUUGCGACGGCUUCAGGCAAAUCGUAGCGGCAGAGCUAAACGGCAACGGCUCGACGAAGCCGUCGACUUAUUGCUUAAACGGCUACGAAAUGAUCCAAAUCAGAUCGAUCGAACGGCCACGGCUUAUGAAGUGGGUUAAUUAUAUGAUACGCCGAUCUCCCUCUCUCCGUUACCCACCGCUGAAGCCCUCCUCCUCUCUCUCUCUCUCUCUCUCCUUUGCUUUCCUGAAACCUCGAUCGCCUCGAUCUCUCGCCUCGAUCAGAUAUGCUUACACAUUACUUGUAUCAGUUUUCUUUUCGAUGGGAGGGGAUAAUCACCGCCGAUCAUCGUCGACCUCGUGGAAAAUCUCCGUUAAUAGCUCCGGUGAUCAGGUAUUCUCCACCUUCGUUUCGUAUCGGGGUCAUCUUCCUUCGCCUCUGGAGAUUAGGGAAGCCCUUCUCUACGCGAUCCCAAUUUUUCUGAUUCGGGUUUUCUUUGUGUCCUAUUGGAUGGAGAAUGAAUUCUUUGAUACGGUUUUUAGUAAAAAAUCGUUGCAAAUUCGAAUCUGGAUAGCGUUCUUUCUCCUCUGCCUGCCUUUUCUCUUUGAUCCAUGAGGCUCUGUGAAUUCGAUUUUUCAUCAUGAUCAAAACUAGUUUAAUUACAAGGUAAUUUAUACCUCGAGAUCAUGACAUGCCUAUUGCGUGAUGCGCUUGGACAUAUGCGCAUGCAUACUGCAAAAACCAUUGGUUGUUCAGUUACUGUGUACAAAUUUAUCAUUCACCUCCGGAUGAGUCAUCGAUGCCAUUAUUUUGAUUCUUGCAAAUUAAUCUUUUUUUCCUGGAGAUGAUUAAUUGAUACAGAGACAAAACUAUCACUUGUCAGCUGAUGGAUCUGUAGUUGCUUCUUUUUUUUCUUCAUAUUUUGUGGUGCUUAAGUCUAAUUUUCUCUUCUGCUCUUACCAAAGUUCUGCUAAGAGACCUCAGUAAUUAAUACUAAAAUCUUAUCUUCUUGUUGCAACAAAAAUUCCUUCAUUUCUACUACCAUCUGCUCUGCAGAAACAGACCCAUUAGUUAGAAUUGUUGUUAUACAUCUAUCUAAUUCUGGUUUGUGAGAAAGAAAGAUGUUUCAUGUAGUUCUCAGUCUUCAUUAGUUAGAAUUGUGAAGAUGGAUGAGCAGAUUGUCUCAGCCUUAGGAGAGGUGAGAAACAGAGGAAGUCUUAAACUAAUUUGUGAAAAAAAUUGAUCUUUUAAGGUUACUAAAUGUUAAAAGAUGGAAGCAGGUAGGGAUCGACCUAAAAGUAUCGAGUCAUGUCAUUGGUGAAGUUAGUACAGGCCCUACCAUCACAUCAAAUUAUGGCCUGUCAUCAUCAGGUACAACAAGGCAAAGUAAAGAAGCCAAUUACAAAGUUUGGUCACAGUGGCUGCCUGAUCGGGCAGCCGAUAUCAACUUUGGAUGGACUGGUAGAGCAAUUAAGAACCUACUGUUGCUACACUAAACCGAGUAGAAUGCCGGCUGAUUUGGUCGUCUGAGGUGACGACAUCUAUUGGACGUUUAAAUCUGUCGAAGAGAGGAAGAACCGAGUCCGGCAUGGUCAAAGGUAUGACGCUGUGGAAGCUAGGACUUCUCUUGUGUACUUUGGAUGACUAGAGGUUUGGGCAUGGAGCACACAACAAGGAGACUGUUGGGAGAAUCUGCAGGUAUUUUACACCUAAAUAGGAGCACAUACGUCGGCAAUUUAUGGCGAGAUACGAUUGGUGGAUGGAAAAGGAUGACACUAUUCUCUCUCUCUCUCUUUCAUCCAUCAAUUACCACAUGACAAGUUGUCCCGUAUCAUUUAUGGAGUCCGUUUCUUUGUGGAAGGGCUUUCAGACCGCAGAGUAGCAUACCCAUGCACAGGUCUGCUGCACGUCUUUUACGCACUGACCUCGUUUCACUCGAUGCUGACUUUAUGGUGCAGGUGUUGGCAUGUGAACAUUCCACAGCUCAUUUCGUUGGGGAAAGGGAGCUAAAUGUGACAGGAGCAUUGACCUAAAGGAAUGGCAUUGGACAUGAUGGAACUUGAUGUGUUGGAAGCAAUGGUAUUGUGACUCGCCCACUUGUCAUCAAUGACACCCAACUUGGAUUGUAUCGAGGAGAAUAAUCUCGUUCAAGAACAAAGACCAUGGCAUCCAUGAGAUCAUACUCUCAUCAUCACCACCUGUUUUCCAUCUUAUCUUGGGACGCAACUGUAGUCGUGCCCAUACCAUCAAACCCGUGGUGGGGAGGGAGAGACCCCACGGUAUGGUGGAGGUGUCAAGAGACAAAAAGCUGAUAGGACUUUGUAGGACAAGGUUGAGGCAACAAGACAAGGAGGGGUUGCUGCUGACGGUGGGUGAGUAACAUCAGACUGCUGUAAAGGCUUCUUGGUCUCUUACAGAAAGCAGUGGAGGACAGAGAGACCCCUCCAAAAGGAACCAAUAUGAAGUCACAAAAUAGAUGCUCAAAUCCUAAUGGGGUUCAUUUCUGCCACCACCCAACACAUCCCACUUUGGGGAGGUAAAUUUCACAUACUCUUGGGUGCAGUGGGCGUGUUCAUCAUUCUCAGUUAUCAACGAGAGAGGAACCAGCCAAUGCCUUCUCAUUGAUCAAAAACACGUCAAUCAAAUGGACAGCCGCCUACUUGAUUUGCUUAGGUGGUAUAUUCUUCAAAAUGUCUCAAAGAAGCUAACGCUGCAGCUCCUAUUCAUUCGAUCUGGUAUACAGAGGCAAAUUUUGGUGGAGGAAUUCCCUGAUAUCGGUAGCAGAUUUCUGUAAUCUUUUCAUAAAAGGAUUUCUUGCAACAGAUGGUAUUUUCUUUUUGUACUAAUCAAUCUCUUCUCUUCGUAAAGAUUGCCGUCUCGACUUCAUUCAAAACCCAACUCCAUUAGUGACAGAGUGAAUACAAAGAGAGUGCAUUAUGCUUCAACAAAGGCAAUCACCGGCAACAACUCCAGAAGAAAAAUGAGGAUGGAACUCGACCGGUUCUUCUGAUGAACUCUGCCUGCUGAGCAGUUCUUGCGGCUUGUUGAUUUCUUUUGGCUUCUGCC